GGGAAGGCAGGGGGAGGACAGGAGGGAAGUGAUGGAGGAGGCAGGGAAGCCGAGGGGAGAGGAGACGAGAGGUGCGGAGGCGCUGGCCUUUUUCUUGGUGCCCAACGCCCCUGCAGUGUAGCUCGGCCGUCUGGGAAGCCGCCAAGUUCGCGCCAGCCAGGCUCGCUCUGGGCGCGCCCAGCACUUGCCUGCGACGUGGAAAACCUAGAGAGCCCUAAAUCUCAGGGCUAAUCUCUGGGUACUUUGAGGAAAGCGUCAGGGGGCCUCGAGUCCCGCGGAGUUUUUGCGGAUGCGCCAGGCCGCGUGGGGAUGUGCCGCAGGGAAGAAGCAGUCUUGGAAACUCUCCCGCCCUGUUGGCAGCUGUCGGUGCCUGUGUUCUUUCUAGUAAGUGUGGCGGUUUCCUUUCCCUCAAGUCAUUCUAUCAAAGUCUUGGAAGCAAACUAAAAAAAAAAACUAGUCUGAAUUAGAAAGUUAAGUGAAGACGGCCUUAUGGGUUUGCGCUGCUCAGGUUUAUUCGUAGCUUCUUUUGGGUCCUUCUUCUCUCUCGCUCCCACCUUGAGGCAGAAACAUAGAUUAGGGACUUGCCGGAUGUCUCUUAUUUUCUACACUAGUUUGAACCUUUCCGCCGGAACUAUGUAUAUUACUUUCUCAUAGGUUUGUGAAUUAACAAACAGGAUUAUUGCAGUUAAUAAGAAGAGCUAAUAUGUAGUACUCGGGGCAGGCACUAUUUUGUUUACAAACCUGUGAUUAUUUAAUUCAUCAACUGUGUGAAGUCGGGGCUAUUGUCCCAUUAUCCAACUUACUUCAUUCCUUAGAGAUGAGGAAAUUGAGGCAUGGUCAAGUUAGAUAACAAGGCCUCUUCUAGCCUGUAAGUGGAAGAGAUGGAAUUUGAACGCAAACUGUCGGAGGUAAAUGCCAUGCUGUGGUCACAAUGUUAUAGAAAUUACCCACUAGCGAGCAUAGUUGUAUUGAAAUAUUAAACUUAUAAUUAGGUGGGAUUUUUUUUUUCCCUUUUACUUAUUUAGGCUUCCUGAAGUUUAUUUUGGCGAAAUGUCCAAAUUUAGUGUGGACAGAGCAGGACUCACAAUUUAAAAAGGAAACUCUCAAUAAGAAACCAUGCAUUCCAAGGCAGUGUUACAUUUUUCUUACAUGCAAGGUUAUUGCAAUGUUUGACCUGGGAAGUUAUUUUCCUUAGGAGAAACAUUUGUCUUGGUAUACCGUGAUCCCCGAGAACAUGGCGAGCCCUCCAGGAGAAACUCUUCAGUCAUCAGUGUUUGAAAACUAAAUAUUGAUUCAAAUGUACUCAAGAAGUGAGCAUCCUUGACAUGGUCGAUGACAUGAUGUCAAAUGAAAAGGAAAUUUCCCCAAAGAAACAUAAGUAUUGGGUGGAGUCAGGGAAGAUACUCAGGGAGUUCCCUUCGUGGCUCAGUGGUUAAGGAACCCCACUAGGAUCCAUGAGGAUUCCAGUUUGAUCCCUUGCCUUGCUCAGUGGGGUAAGGAUCUUGCGUUGCUUUGAGCUGUGGUGUAGGUGGAAGACGCUGCUUGGAUCCCGUGCUGCUCUGGCUGUGGUUGUAGGCCGGCAGGUGUAGCUCCACUUCAGCCACUAGCCUGGGAAUUUCCAUAUGCCUCGGGUGCCUGGGAACUUCCAUGUGCUGUGCUUGUGGCCCUAGAAAGCAAAAAUAAGAAAAGGGAAGAUAUUCGUUUUUUUGUUUUUUUUUUUUUCCCUCCAUUUUCUUUCUGGAGUCUUCUUCCCUGUCCUUGAACACUUCUGUGACCUCCAAGACUGGGUUAGAAGCCUCUUCUGUGUGCUCCUGUGCACCCAGAAUCUGUGCCUGCAGUGGUACACUGUUUUCUCAUUGCUUGUUCACCUAACUACCUCCUGGGAGAUUCUUAAGUUUCACGAAGGGCAGACAUUCUGUCCUUCUCAAUAGUAUGUCUCCAGAACUCAGCACAGUUGUCCUAAAAUUGGAGCAAUACUGACUGGUUAAAAUGAUGGUUUUUACUGGUCAGCCUUGUCUUGUUAGGAUGUACUGAGUUGGGAUUUAACAGAAACUGUGAGACCAAUGUAUCCAUCAGAAGCAUAGUCUCUAAACAGACCUCCCAGUUUCCUCCUUUCUUACAUUUCCUUGAAUUCCACCUACAUACUUUAUCUUAUCUAUCUCUCUGUCUCUCUCUAUGUUAUCUGUGUGUAUACCAUCUAUCUCCCUCUAUCUCUCUAUCUCUCUAUCCAACUGUCUGUCUGUCUAUCUGUCUUUACCACUGGAUAUAAACCACACAGUCAGGGAUAUAUAUUUUGUUUCAGUUUGGGUAUAUAUCCCAUUGUCCCACUUUUUGCACCCAUUUGGCACAUAAUAGUUUUUUUGAUAUUAAAUAAGAACAAAAACAACCUCUGAAAAUUUUAACUUUAUUUUGGCACCCAAUUAAUAAAUAACUGCAGCCUUAAUCCUAACGUCACUGUUUGGGGUCUGUAAGAUGAUAGAAUCAUACGAUUUUUUUUUUUUUUUCCCUGAAGGGGACCUGAUAAUUAUGUAAGCCAGCUGGUAGACACAGGCUAUUUCAAUUUAAACUGACUAAAAUAAAAUUAAAAAUUAAGUUACUCAGCUUUUGCUUCCUUUUGGGUGCUCAGUAGCCACAUGUGACUAGUGGCUACUCUGUUGGGCAGCCUUGAUACAGAGAUUUCCAUUAUUGCGGAAAGUUCUACUGGGCAGAGCUGACAAGUUACAAAAAAUAGGUUAAAGGGCAUAGUUUCAUUAGCUUAAAUAUAUCACUGCUACUAAAAAAUAUUUCAGAUGGCAUAGCAGUUCUUUUACAUACAAAGAGCAUCACAUUCUUAUUUCAGAUGUCUGCUAUUUCACAUAGAUAAACAUUUUUUUUUCCUUAACAGUUGUGGUUAAAUUAAUGCACAUUUAAACAUAUGCAGAAGAGCCUGUGGUUCAAAAGGAUUCCUCUUUGUAGUCCCUUAAGGUGAAUAUUCACCCCAAUCAAUCCUUUGUGAGUCUUCACUUUUUUCUGGUUAAAAAUCCUCUGAUCAACUUGAGUCACUGCACAAGUUUGACAUUCAUUCGCUUCGGCUGUGCAUUUUAAGCUCGCAUGAUUGAGGAGCUAAAAUACUCAGUAAUGUUGGUAAAGGCCAAAUGCCAGAUAGUUUUGGACUGACCAAAUAUAUAUUUAAUGACAUCACACAUGCCCUAAGACAGUUUUCAAUUUACAAACACUCUAUUCAGAAGCAGCCCAGAUAGAAAACAUACUGGCGUACUUUCUUUAAACUCUUCCUUAGGACAGUAUUGCCAAGGUGCCCAUUGUACAAAAAUUAGUCAAUAAAAAAAUAAAAUAAAUACUGCAAUUCUAAGACAAUGGAUAGUGUAAGUUGUGGGGGCAACAAAGAAGCCGGAGUGAAACCUUGGGGAAUUAGUAGAGGUUAUUUCCGCAGUAGAGCAGAUUUGCUUAAGUGGUAACCCCCUGACAAAAAUAGUCUAGAGCCACCUUUCUCCCUCUGGCCCCGCCCCUCCUUGCCCUGCCUCUCUCCCACUCCCCUGUUCUUACAAUUCUUUUUUUCUUUUUUUGCGUUUUAGGGCUGCGCAGGCAACAUAUGGUAGUUC
rnacentral:lncRNA from 1 species